GACGAACGCUGGCGGCGUGCUUAACACAUGCAAGUCGAACGGAAAGGCCCUGCUUUUGUGGGGUGCUCGAGUGGCGAGCGGGUGAGUAACACGUGAGUAACCUGCCCUUGACUUUGGAAUAACUUCAGGAAACUGGGGCUAAUACCGGAUAGGAGCUCCUGCUGCAUGGUGGGGGUUGGAAAGUUUCGGCGGUUGGGGAUGGACUCGCGGCUUAUCAGCUUGUUGGUGGGGUAGUGGCUUACCAAGGCUUUGACGGGUAGCCGGCCUGAGAGGGUGACCGGCCACAUUGGGACUGAGAUACGGCCCAGACUCCUACGGGAGGCAGCAGUGGGGAAUAUUGCACAAUGGGCGGAAGCCUGAUGCAGCAACGCCGCGUGCGGGAUGACGGCCUUCGGGUUGUAAACCGCUUUCGCCUGUGACGAAGCGUGAGUGACGGUAAUGGGUAAAGAAGCACCGGCUAACUACGUG
rnacentral:rRNA from 1 species